rnacentral:rRNA from 1 species
GACGAACGCUGGCGGCGUGCUUAACACAUGCAAGUCGAACGGAAAGGCCCUGCUUUUGUGGGGUGCUCGAGUGGCGAACGGGUGAGUAACACGUGAGUAACCUGCGCUUGACUUUGGGAUAACUUCAGGAAACUGGGGCUAAUACCGGAUAGGAGCUCCUGCUGCAUGGUGGGGGUUGGAAAGUUUCGGCGGUUGGGGAUGGACUCGCGGCUUAGCAGCUUGUUGGUGGGGUAGUGGCUUACCAAGGCUUUGACGGGUAGCCGGCCUGAGAGGGUGACCGGCCACAUUGGGACUGAGAUACGGCCCAGACUCCUACGGGAGGCAGCAGUGGGGAAUAUUGCACAAUGGGCGGAAGCCUGAUGCAGCAACGCCGCGUGCGGGAUGACGGCCUUCGGGUUGUAAACCGCUUUCGCCUGUGACGAAGCGUGAGUGACGGUAAUGGGUAAAGAAGCACCGGCUAACUACGUG